GGUUCGAGGGAACGCUACGAAGGUAUUGCAACGCCCUCUUGAGUAAAUGACGCUCAAACGUCAUGAAUAAUUGAAGUUCAAUUAUUGCCUUCCGGGCACUUCCGUAUACUCAUAAAGCUUAGUAAAAGAUGUUCUGGAGAAGACAAGUUAGUUAGAUGAAGGCUAGGCGUUCUAGGACUCUCUAGCUAGCUAGUAUAGCUAUGUAGCUGGAUUGCUUGGCACCUAGGAAGGAUCUUUGAAGAAAUAAAGAGCCAAAGACUCCCGUCGCUCGAAUGGUGGUGGUAAGUGUCAGAGGCCUGAGAAACGCUAGUCUAUUGGCUAGAAUGUUGUUAUGGAGUGUUUAUGAGGACAAGUGGCACAGGAUACGUAUAUCUAAAGAAACAAGAGUGGAUCUACGCCAAGCUAGCUAGCUAGAUAGCUGCUCUUUCUAAUCUAUUCUGUUGCUAAAUUAUGUUUGUUAAGAAGUGGAGCUAUAAUAUACCUGGCUCCUCUUGAUGAUUGUAAGU